rnacentral:lncRNA from 1 species
UGCCAUCUUGAAGUUUAUAAUCUAGUCCUACAAAGAAACUUAUCAGAGAGGUUUCUCUGAGGCUUAGUGUGUUGCGGUCUAUGCCUUUUCAUUUCAUCCUUCAAAUAAUAAAAAUAUUUUUAUAUAAAAAGAAUAUUAUAUAUAAAAGAAAAUUUGGAUUGGAUUAAUGUAAUGUUUACAGUUAUGGUAAUGGCUAUGUUAAUGUAAUGUAAUGUUAGGCCUUGUUUAGUUCCUGAUUUGAAUGAACUAAUUUUUAAAAAGGCAUUUUUUUAAUAAGUAGGAAAAUUUGAAUAUG